AUAGCUCAGCUGGUUAGAGCAUGGUGCUGAUAAUGCCAAGGUUGCAGGUUUGAUCCUGAUAAGGGAUACCUGCAUA